rnacentral:lncRNA from 1 species
AAGGGAGACAAUCACAGUCUCAUUCAGUUGCUGCAUCAAGCUUGAAGUCCACAAAUUACAGAAAAGGGGUCCCAAUCCAGACCCCAAGAGAGGGCUCUUGGAUCUCACGCAAGAAAGAAUUCAGGGAAGUUUGAUGGCAUGUCUUUAUAUCAUGGCCAUGGGCAGGACUUGGAAAAAGUUUUACCACUAAAGCAUCUAUGAACUCAAGAAAGAAAACACUGGCUAUGUACAAUGAUGACUGUGAUCUUUUAAAUUUAUCUCAAAUAGCGAACCUACCAGUCAUACUGAGAGGAAAUCACCACUGGAGAUCCCAGAAGCAUAACAAUUGUCCCUUCCAAGUAGCAAGAAGUUACUUCAUCUUCUCAUCAGGACAAGGUUUCCAACUCUGUUGCCUCUGCAGGGGUGGAUUUGUGGAUCCUGAAUUCUGGCAGCUGUGUGAUCCACACCUUGGCUAGCACCAGAGGUCAUUGGCUAAGUGCUAUGACAGCAGGGAUUCUCCAAGGCCAAGCCCAUGGGGUUCAGGCCAGGGAUGAUCAAUCAUCAGGCGAAGGUUCCAGGACAUGAAGUGCAUCACAGGUGCUCUCCAGGAACAGGUACCCAGCCAUGCAGGACUAGGAGAGGCCCAGGGCAGCCCUGAUUCUCACAUGUCCACCCACUGGCAGGAGCUGACAGCUGUGCAUGACUAGCUCUCAAAGGCCCAGCUGCAUCCUGCCUCCUCCUGCUUCUGUUGAGUCUGGCAGCUACAAGCAAGAGUAUGGGAAAGCAGAAGACAGGAAGACAGGUGAACUCAUGGAAGACGGAGGCAGAGGGGAAAGUAGAGGCUCUGCAGACCCCAUCAUGGAGAACAAGAAACCGAGUGGGAGCUUAUCGACUUCAGCCUUACCCCAGGACGCACUCUCAACCAAGUUUACUCUCUGAACAGCUCUGAAACUUUUGGUUCAGUCGUGGCUGAACCAACAGGAAAUCAAGGGAAAUGGCACUUAUUUAUUAUGCAGCCGUAGGCCAAUUCCCCAGAUGUCAUUAUUGCACUUCCAGGCCUUUUGCUUAGGCAAAGAAACAGAGACCGAAAGAGACUUCUGAGACAACAGCCAGCAAAGAAGCUCACUGCCUUUUGAAGGGAUUCUCCUCCCAUGGGAGAAGAGCUGCUCUGGUCACUUCUACAAGUUCUAGCUGACCAGGCAGGGCCCUGGCUGAGAUCUUAUUUGGGGACUGAUCCUCUACCCUCUUCUCUCCACAAAUCAGUGAGCUUUGAGGGGAACUUGACUGCCACCAAACAUGAGGCUUUAGGACUGGAGAAGCUGGCAGACAAUGGGGUCCCCAGUGAUGCCCCUCAGAUGGGGCAAAGAUAUUCUCAACUACACCUCUG